CAAUUCCUUCUCCCCUAAAUUCUUCUCUAAUGCUGGUAUUCGGCCCCUCUAAUUCCCGUUGAGCAUAAUCGUUUAGAUUCCUUCAGCAAGCCAUGUAUAUGGUAUGCCAUUGAUCCCCAUAUUUGGAAUUUUACCUAUCAUAUUGUUUUUUAAUGUUAUGUUGCGUUGGCUGUUUGUAUUAUGUUGGUGCCGACAGUCGAGAGUGUUUUGGGAUAGAAGUCCAUCUGUAAGUGCUGGCGAUUUUUAUGGUUCUCUGUUAUUAUUUGAAUUUUUUAAUAACAGAUUUUAUUCCCAUAUAACUUUAAAAGUUUACUACUAUUGAAAUUGGAAUUGCAUUAUUGUAAACUGAGCUCAUCAGUUCAAUUGCGGUAGAAAAGAUAUAUAACCGAGUUGGAUUUUAUGUCUAGAAUUCUCAAUAAUGUUUUGGCUGCCUGUGAGAGAUACAUGGGAAUUCUGAAUCGAGCUAGCCGUUUAUAUAUUAAUCUCUGAUUCCUUUUGUUUGCUUACUCAAAUAUUUACGUAAACCCAUGUCUAUAGAUUUCAUAUUAUUUGUCUUUCUUUUGUUAAUAUUAACUGUUUGACUUUGAUUUAUAUUAAAUUAGAUUUUAAUUUAAACUGAACAUACCCUUAAUAGAUAUAGCUGCUUUCUUUUCACUUAAUCGAAGUUUACUUGUGACUGGAUAUAUCAGAUUUCGAAAAGCAAUUUUCAAAUCGGAAAAAAAAAAUAUAUAGAUCUGCCUAUUCAUGAACAAGUUUUGUAUUUCCUUCAAGUCUUAUGACUGGCUCAUCUCGAUGGACUCAUAAAUAAUAUUUCUUACCUCCUCUAACAUCCACCUCUUAUCCUCACUUUUCAAUACAUAUUCAGCCCCUGUUUGGCCCCUAUUUUUUAGAAAUGAAAAUGGGUGAAAUUGUAUUUUUUUGAAAAAUGAAUGGUUGAAAAAGUCGAGCUAAAUACUAUAAAAAAUGGGCAUGACAUCCAAAACCAUCUUUAGAUGUCCAUGACCCAAUUUUCAAAGUCGAGUUAAAGACUAUAAAAAGACACUUGCUGAAAGGCAACCCAAUUUUCUGUCCUUUAAUCUUUUUAUUUAAUUUUUUUAUUAACCAUCGUUUAUUUUUAAGUAUUUUUUGAAGUCUCAUAUAUCCGUGGUUCCUAACAAGUUCGGGAGUAAAGUGUUUUACCAAAUGGUCACUGAUCCAAGUUCAUUAAAAGUAUCACAAGUCUAAGUCAAGAUUGGUAGCCCUUCACCUCCCCUCUUCUCUUUUAUCUUGCUUUUGUGUUGACAUGUUAGAUAAUCUUUCUAGCUUAGCAUUGUUUGAUAUUUAAAAUUGUUGUUGAUUCAUGAGCUAUGACCAAAUAUGUUGUUUGUGCAUAAUAUUUUUCAAAAAUAUUGCUUGUUCAUGCGAGAUCCCAAGUUACUUUGAGCACAAUAGUCAUGAUUAAUUAUUAUCUAGAUGUGAAAAUUAUUGACUGAUGGAGAAAUUUUUGAAUUGGUUGAACAAAGUUGUAGGUUGUGUUUAAAUGUUUAUCAAUCCUACAUUCUCUUCUCUUUCACUGAACCAUAUUGCGAGAUAAGUUUUGGAGUGAUAGAAUCGGUAAAAGAUAUUAUCUAGAAAUGGG
rnacentral:lncRNA from 1 species